AUCUUAAACACAACUACACCAAUAAAGUUGUCCGUAUAUAGAGGACAAUGCUCCAGAAUAAAGUAGUUUUGAUUCUGAUAAUGAAACCUACACAUUGCAGGAUCUCUUACUUAUAUAAUAGGCUGAUCAUAACUACUGCAUAACCUAUUAGGAUAAAGAUAAAUAACUUCUAAUAACCAUAAUAAAACUGCUAAACAGAUAACUUCUAAUAAACUUCUAAUAACUGAAAGCUCCAGGAAUUAUCUUCUCCUAAAUUUCUUUGCUUCUUCUGGAAGAUAUGUGGCUUAUCAGUACACCCCUCCUGGAAAGACGACUUGUCCUCAAGGCGAAGUUCGAGAAAUUGUGCCCACAUUAGUAGGAAACAUGUCAUUUUUGUUGUUAUCUUUCACAAUCUGUGUGUCGUUCUCUUCUUGCAUCAACUCUAGAUGAGCAAAAGUCCCAGGUUUGCAGCGAUGAUCAGGGCUAAACUUUUCUCCCCAACGAUAUCAAAGGGCUUUGUCUCGCCAAAUUUGUUGUUCAGGAGUCAACGGGCGAGUGUUUGGAAGUGGUGGUGGUUGAAAAGGACGUGUAACUGGUUGGCGGGAUGACAGAAAAUCGAAGGAUUCUCGAGCCGCAGGAGAUGAUGUCCCAACUGAAGGAGGUCGUGAUACAGAAGGCAAAGUGGGUGCCUUACUGGACCGAUUAGGUCCCUGUUUUCCUUCAUAUUCUAAAGCCAGGCUCAUUGCCUUGUACACAUAUCGAGGUUUGUGAAUCCUAGCAUCCACGCGAAGGUCUUCUUUCAGCCCACUGUGGAAAACUCCAAGCAAAUAGUGUUCUGGCCAAUUUUGCACACGCGCUGCUCGUUUUGCAAAUUCUUGCCUAUACUCAAACAUUGUUCCAGUUUGUUGGAUAUCACAGAGAUGUUCAUCAGGGAUUUGAAACUCAGCUAGUCCGUAAUUUUCUUGCAUUACUUUCACCAAUUCGUCCCAAUAGUAAAUGGUUCGCUCACUGUUGAUCCAAGCGAAAAGAUCUAAUGCAUCUCCUUCCACGUACAUCAAAGCCACAUCAACCUUGCAUUCCUCGGAAGUUUGAUAGUACUGGAAAUACUUCUCUGCUUUUAAAAUCCAGCCUCUAGGAUCUCCUCCCUCAUACUUUGGAAAUUCCAUCUUUGUCCGUGAGCGCGUGAAAGUUUCUUGAUGCCAAGUGUUGUUAACCUCACCCUCUUCUGGUAUGACUUUAGCUUUCCCUUUGUUGAUGUGAUCUCCACUGUGUUGUGCUUUUAAUGCAGCCACAUCAGCGGCUAAAGCAUCUAUGGCUUCCAGUUUCGCUGCUAUAGUCGUCAAUUGUUGGGAAAUCGGGUCAAGAGUAGGAAUGGUGAGUUCACUGUGGGAAGCAUUGGUCCGCGUGUUCACCAUGGCAGAUCUUACUGCUCUGAUACCAAAUUGAUAGAAACCAGAAGUGGAUAACAGAUUAAAUAGAGCAAAGAAGUUAAUAUUAUUGGCAAUAGUUUGUGCAAGAAUCUUAAACACAACUACACCAAUAAAGUUAUCCGUAUAUAGAGGACAAUGCUCCAGAAUAAAGUAGUUUUGAUUCUGAUAAUGAAACCUACACAUUACAUGAUCUAUUACUUAUAUAAUAGGCUGACCAUAAAUACUGCAUAACCUAUUAGGAUAAAGAUAAAUAACUUCUAAUAACCAUAAUAAAACUGCUAAACAGAUAACUUCUAAUAAACUUCUAAUAACUGAAAGCUCCAGGAAUUAUCUUCUCCUAAAUUUCUUUGCUUCUUCUG
rnacentral:lncRNA from 1 species